rnacentral:lncRNA from 1 species
GUAGAUUUCUGAGGAGAACUUUCUCGUGUCAUAACAACAAGAAAUCACGAAAUACAUGGUGUUGUCUAAAACUAGGAGAUUGUAGGGAGUACGGUUUCUUCACGCGAAGUCACGAAAAAAGUCAGAAUUUCUCCACAGUUUCUCGCAGGAUGCUGAAGGGAAUCAGAUCGUUCAUCGGCUUCGUAGUGAUAAUGUUGAACAUCGUACAGAAUGAAGCUCUUUACAGAGUGACAGCGAUUCAAGACAAAAUUCCUUAUAACUGUAGUUUUCAAAAUACAUCAGAGACGACGAUUGGAAGUUGUCUUGCAAAGUGUCUGAAAAAUUGCACGUGUCGGGCGCUCCG